AGGACCAGUAGGGGAGACGAAGGAUGGGCGCCAUAUGUUGUCUGGAGAAGGCGGGGCUGCCUCUUCAACAAGGGUCAAGUCAAAACGACGGUCGGAGGGGCCAGACAUUUUCAAAGGUGUUGAGAGAGAAAGAGGUCGGAUAAAUCAAGAUCUUAGAAGUGCAAGAAUGGAGCUUCUACUGGUGGAUAUUCAAGUGUGCUUUGGAACUUAAUG
rnacentral:lncRNA from 1 species